UGAUGGGAGCACAUAGCAUCGGGAG
rnacentral:piRNA from 1 species